rnacentral:other from 1 species
GCGCCCCUGCGUUGAGCGUCAGGCAACUUAUUGCCCGAGCCGAUAUUUGCUGAACGGGAGCUUAGCUAUUCUGGCCGUGAGUAUCCCCCAUUCCGGGAAACCUGACGUCAGGAUGCGGCGCCCACCUCAAUUGAGAGGGUUCGGCAUAUUUUUGCCACACGCCAGCGCGGGGGCGCC